rnacentral:sRNA from 1 species
UCAGUAACAUUCGUAUUGACCGAAAUAUA